rfam:Folsomia candida strain VT population Fcan01_Sc002, whole genome shotgun sequence.
GGGUUUGUAGCUCAGUGGUAGAGCGCUCGCUUCGCAUGUGAGAGGCCACGAGUUCGAUCCUCGUCAGAUCCA